UAGUUUAAAGUUGGAAAAAAUUGUUUGUACCAACAAAAAUAAAUACACGAAGUUAAUCCAGAAUUAUGUGUUUAUCAUUUUUUUUUUUAUGUUUAGGUUGCCAGCAAGAUGAAAAGAACAAUGCAGUUCAAAAGUCAAAAUGUGGAUAAGCUGCGGUACAAGGUCCUACUUUUGCAGAUUUUCAUAUUUUGCAUGAAUGAAUUUGAAGUUUAUAUCAUGGAGGGCAGAGAAAGAAAAGAAACACUUCAAUUUUCCUGCUUCUGAAAGAUCUUGUUCGAAGGAUUGAAAUUCAUCACUUAGAAUAAAAAGAGAAAACACAGAAACAAGACCAAAAUAAAUUCAAAGACAAAAGUCAGAUCAGUUAUUAUUUUCAUCACUCAGUCAAUGAAUUGAAGUUCUAUUAAAUAUCUAAAGAUAUUAAAACCACAAUAAUGACUAUGUUCUGUGCUGAAUGGCCAAAAAGUGGACUAUACAUUACGAUCACACAAUGCUGGAUGAUAAGAAACUAUUAAUUUUUUGGGUGGAGGGAUAUCCUGAAAAAAAAAUAGAUUUAUGUAAAAAGCUACUAGUAUGUUAAGCCUAUUAAUAGAGUUUUCAUUGAUUUCAAAUGGGAAAAAUUGUGUUUCAAAAAAGUAUUCUAGAAUUCAUAAAUAAACAUAUAUUGAUACUUACAUUA